rnacentral:rRNA from 1 species
UACGGGGGGGGCAAGCGUUGUUCGGAAUUACUGGGCGUAAAGGGCGUGUAGGCGGCCAACUAAGUCCGACGUGAAAUCCCCAGGCUUAACCUGGGAACUGCGUCGGAUACUGGUUGGCUUGAAUCCGGGAGAGGGAUGUGGAAUUCCAGGUGUAGCGGUGAAAUGCGUAGAUAUCUGGAGGAACACCGGUGGCGAAGGCGGCAUCCUGGACCGGUAUUGACGCUGAGGAGCGAAAGCCAGGGGAGCAAACGGG